UACGUAGGGUGCAAGCGUUGUCCGGAAUUAUUGGGCGUAAAGAGCUCGUAGGUGGCCUGUCGCGUCGGCUGUGAAAACUCGGGGCUCAACUCCGAGCUUGCAGUCGAUACGGGCAGGCUAGAGUUCGGCAGGGGAGACUGGAAUUCCUGGUGUAGCGGUGAAAUGCGCAGAUAUCAGGAGGAACACCAACGGCGAAAGCACUCUGCUGGGCCGACACUGACACUGAGAGACGAAAGCUAGGGGAGCAAAUGGG
rnacentral:rRNA from 1 species